GGAUUAUUCCCAAAAACUGGAAAAAGUUUGAUUCUCCUAAACCUUAAAAAAAAGCCAAAAACUAGUUUUACUUUGUAAUACUGUUUGACCUAAAAAUGAACUGGGUGAAAAUACAAACAUCAGCCUGAGACCCCAGUAACCUUAUGCAGGAAAUCCUCAAAUUAGCCUCUUCAGUCUUUUACAACUGAGAGCAGAAUAAAGAGGACAGAGGGAAAAAGAAGAACAAACACAAAGAUAAGAGGCAGGCUCAACUAUUGGCUGCUUUAUAAGCUCUCCAGUCCCCUCCAGGUCAUCCUAAGGACACUCCUCCAGGACUCUCAUGGCAACACAUAGUACAAACCAUGACUUCCUAACAGAAAGGGAAAUGACUUCUGUCUAAUUCAAAGAAUAUUAAGGUUUCUGAUUUGCAGAUUGUGACAUGAGAAUAGAGGAAAAACUUUCAGGACACUUAAGGAGAGCUGAAAUGCUCACGAAUAUUAAGCAGAGCAUAAGUCAACUGUAUGGACUGACCUAAUAGAAGACUGAAAUAAUUCUUCUAUUUACACCUUUUAACAAUUGAGUAAAGUAUACUGCUGUAAACAAAAUUUGGAGCAUAUUUGUUUCUCUCUACCUGAUUUCUCUAGAAUUAGGAAACUAUGAAUAUUCUUAACAUGUGAAUAUAGUUAUUUGCAUAAGUGCAGUAAGAAUCUGUUUUCUUUUGCAACAGGACACAAUUGGAAACUGGUUGUUUUACCAAGACUUUGUAAAGCCUUGCUAACUGGAAUUUGUGCUUUCCUUUAAGGAAUCAUAUUUGACUUAUAGAUCCAAUAAAAGCCCUUUGGGAAAACUGGCCUCAUACCUACUCUACACAGUUCCUGUACAGGAUUCCUGACCUGUGGCCAUCAAGCACCAGAUAAUCCUCAGUGAGUGAUACAUCCCCUUAAUAUUCAAGAGCCACCCUUCUGUAGGGGGCCGAUAGAAUGCCCCAUCAGUGGGACAAGACAGAGGUGAAAUCCUGCCCCUCUCUCCCUUGGACCUGGCUAGAUACUGCUUUUACCAUCCCAUGGAGUCACACUGCCCUGACAGAAAAAGAGGCCUGCAGCAAUCCUGGAGAGGCUGUCACUCUAAUGUUUAUGGAAAAGUCAGUAGAAGCAGCCUCCAGACCUCAGCUUCUUCAGGAUUUGCCUUAGUUGCCCAAAGCUGUUUCACUCCAAGUCACAACAUUCCUUUGGAAGCCCACAACUGAUGACUGAGGGUUAGAUAUCUAAGGCCUGUCCAUUUUAGCCUGACAUCAAAUACCCUGACAGGUAGUAUUCCCUUUAGAGGUGUUCACCAGGUUGGCCAAGACUUUGUUAGGUCUGCAUUGCAGUUAAACUUCUUCCCCUGUUCACUUCUACUUGCUAUAUCUUUCACAGACUCAUGGAUUUUUGUAGUGUAUUUUUAAUCAAAUUAUUUUGUAGAAAGGGACUCUGAAAAAAAAUAAAAACUUUUGUUUGUGGCCCUGUGUAUGUACCCUAGAGGCAGUCACUACGGGACAUAACCUGUGCAGUCCAUUUCUUGGAUAGUCGUCUUACUCUAUACUCAAUUCUGCUGGAGAACACUGGCCUCUGAUUCCUUCUCUCAUACCAAUGACCCCUCACUGCUCGCUUAGUGUGCCAAUAAUAUUCACUAUUAAUUUCUAGAAAUGAAAGGCUUUAUAUAACAAAAUAUAACAAGCUGAUCUUGACUGUAACUAGUUUUGACAAUUGAUACAUUUCUUUUGUGUACUCAGAGAGAUGCUGUUCACCUCUUUUUUGUUUCCUGAGACAACUUAUAUUACUUUCUUGGCAAGCAUUUAGAACACCUGCACAUAAACCACAGGUGAAAUACAGAAUAGAGCCCUCUAUAUUAAUUUUCUUGGUAGCAAUUAGUUGUACUGGUGUUUGUUCUCAGAAAGCUUCUGAACUACUGCUCAAAGCCAGCUCAAUUUUGAUGAAGGAGACUGAUUUCUUAGCAAUAUUUUCAAUCUUUGUACCCCAUGCUGAUAGCAGCUGGAUCAGAAAUACACUCAGCAUUGCUUUCGUGCUUGACAGUUAUAGUUGUGACCAUGUUAAUUACCAUCCUGUCUAACAGCACAAUGGGGACACUGUAUAGCUCUGAGAGUGAUUAUAGUCUUGCCUUCUGCAGAAAGACUUUCUUGGAAAUCAUGAGUAAUUUGUAAUUAAAGAAGACGUUCCAAUCAUCCUUGGUAAAUAUAUCUUUUUUCUAGAAUAAAAUUGUUUCACUUUCAUUUUGGUUAGGUAUUUUGCAAGUUAGGUAUAUCUGGGAAUGGGAUCCCAAGGGUCUCUUGUUCUGUAGUCUGUGACAGUUAAACAUGAGAAAAUGCCUUAUUAUAAAAUGUGCCUUGUUUUAUAAUAAAAAUGUAAAAUUAAUUUGUUUUACAUUUAAAUAAAGAUUAUUUUAUAUAUGUAAAAGUUUUAUAAUAAGGCACAAUGUGCAU
rnacentral:lncRNA from 10 species